AGGCACCGUACUUGGAAAUAAAGAAGCAGAUGGACAAACAAGACCCACUUGCUCAUCCUCUUCUACAAUGGGUCAUUUCUAGUAAUAGAUCACAUAUUGUGAAACUACCGGUGAAUAGGCAACUGAAGUUUAUGCACACUCCCCACCAGUUCCUACUUCUGAGCAGUCCACCAGCCAAAGAAUCCAAUUUCCGAGCUGCUAAAAAUCUUUAUGGAAGUACCUUUGCAUUUCAUGGUUCACACAUUGAAAAUUGGCAUUCCAUCCUCAGGAAUGGCUUAGUUGUUGCUUCCAAUACGAGGUUGCAGCUCCAUGGUGCAAUGUUUGGAAGUGGAAUCUACCUUAGUCCAUUGUCAAGCAUAUCAUUUGGUUACUCAGGGAUGAACAAGAAGCAGCAGAAGGUGUCAGCUAAAGAUGAACCAGCUUCAGGCAGUAAAGGCAGUAAUACAUCACAG